UGUCUCAAAGAUUAAGCCAUGCAUGUCUAAGCACAAGCUAUUUAAGUGUAAGCCGCGAAUGGCUCAUUAUAACAGCCAUUGUUUACUGGAUAUAUCUUUACUACAUGGAUAACUGUGGUAAUUCUACAGCUAAUACACGCUCCAAAACCCCAACUUUACGGAGGGGUGCGUUUGUUACUUCAAAUCAAUCGGACUUCGGUCUGCAUUCAAGUGAUUUUAGACAAUUUAGCUGAACGAACGGUCUAAGAACCGACGUCAUAUCCUUCAAACGUCUGCCUUAUCAACUUUCGACGGUAAGCUAUAAGCCUACGGUGGUUAUAACGGGUAACGGAGAAUCAGGGUUUGAUUCCGGAGAGGGAGCCUGAGAAAUGGCUACCACAUCCAAGGAAGGCAGCAGGCACGCAAAUUACCCACUCCCGGCACGGGGAGGUAGUGACGAAAAAUAACGAGCAGGUCUUUUUAUGAGUUCCUGCAUUGUAAUGGGAACAAGUUAAAUCUUUUAUCGAGGAUCUAUUGGAGGGCAAGUCUGGUGCCAGCAGCCGCGGUAAUUCCAGCUCCAAUAGCGUAUAUUAAAGUUGUUGCGGUUAAAAAGCUCGUAGUUGGAUCUACGACCAAGUUCUGUGGUCAUCCUGCUUGGGUGCACUGCAGUGACUGGUCCUUUGUCUAGUAUUCUAUUGAUGCUCUUCAUUGAGUGUCUCUAGUUGCUGGAACUUUUACCUUGAAAAAAUUGAAGUGCUCAAAGCAGGCUCUCAGCCUGAACAUUGCUGCAUGGGAUAAUAGAAUAGGACUUCGGUUCUAUUUUGUUGGUUUUCGGAAUUGAAGUAAUGAUUAAUAGGGACAGACGGGGGCAUUCGUAUUGCUACGUUAGAGGUGAAAUUCUUGGAUCGUAGCACGACGAACAACUGCGAAAGCAUCUGCCAAGCAUGUUUUCAUUAAUCAAGAACGAAAGUUAGAGGUUCGAAGGCGAUCAGAUACCGCCCUAGUUCUAACCGUAAACGAUGCUGACUAGCGAUUCGCAGUAUUUACUUUUAACGGAUUUGCGAGAAGCUCCCGGGAAACCUAAGUGUGCGAGUUCCGGGGGAAGUAUGGUUGCAAAGCUGAAACUUAAAGGAAUUGACGGAAGGGCACCACCAGGAGUGGAGCUUGCGGCUUAAUUUGACUCAACGCGGGAAAUCUCACUUGGUCAGGACACUGUAAGGAUUGACAGAUUGAAAGCUCUUUCAUAAUUCGGUGGAUGGUGGUGCAUGGCCGUUCUUAGUUGGUGGAGUGAUUUGUCUGGUUAAUUCCGAUAACGAACGAGACUCUAUCUUGCUAACUAGUCGCAGAUUUAUUCUGACUGUUGAGCUUCUUAGAAGGACAGGGGGUGCCAACCCCACGAGACGGAGCAAUAACAGGUCUGUGAUGCCC
rnacentral:rRNA from 1 species